UCACCUGCCUGGCUACCAGUGGUGGGGGUGGGUGGAGUGGCCAGCCGAGUUCGGCCCAAAAUGGGCCUGCUAGUUCGGGAGCUGGCCUUGAGCCCCAUCUGGCAGGAAGACAUGGAUAAAUCGUACAGCUCCCAGGUACUGCAACUGUGGUUUUUACUGAGGCAGUGACAUUGGUACUGGUCUGCCCUUGGGCCCAAGGCUUGUAGAGGUCUCCGUGGACGCAAGAGUUGCCCCCACAAAAUGUCCCAGUGGCUCCUACGUCAGUCUAGAAAUGUGGUAGAGUUGGUGGGGGCCCAGGGGGUUUCUCCCAUUCCCAGUCUUGCACAGGUCCCUGUGGAGAGCUGAAUCCCGCUAGGGGCUCUCACCCUUUCCCAUGUUGGAAAAUGGUUCACUUACUCAACCUUUCCCAUACUGAAAGGUUCUCCUGGCUCUGCACUGAGCCCAGACAUGCUGGUGUCCCACCUCACUCAUGUCUGCUCUUUGUGUUACCCUGCUGCCUUGAUGGAUCAUAACAUGGUUUCUCAGAUGAUCGGCCUGCAGGGUCAAUGUUUACUAGCCCCUUUUGUUUCUGAUCUGUGAGAAUGGUGCAUAUGAGAUGAUUCUAGUCUGCCAUCUUGUCCAAAUAUCCUAAAAUUUUAAAUAAUUUUUAACUGUUAAUUUUUUCCCUUGCUUUCUUGUAUAAAAUGAUCUUGUACUGGUACGCAGCCACCUGGCAGUUAUUGGUCUCACCAUGGAGUGGAAAGUGCUUGCGCUCCAGGCCCGAAAGAAAAGGACCAUACCCAAGAAGGACAAAGCCCAAAGGAAAUCUGAAACUCAGCACCGAGGCUCUGCUCUCCACUCCAAGAGUGAUCUACCAGAGCAGGAAGAGGAGAUUCUGGGAUCUGAUGAUGAUGAGCAAGAAGAUCCUAAUGAUUAUUGUAAAGGAAGUUAUCAUCUUGUGAAAAUUGGAGAUCUAUUCAACGGGAGAUACCACGUGAUCCAAAAGUUAGGCUGGGGACACUUUUCAACGGUAUGUUUAUCAUGGGAUAUUUACGGGAAGAAAUUUGUGGCAAUGAAAGUAGUUAAAAGUGCUGAACAUUACACUGAAACAGCACUAGAUGAAAUCUGGUUGCUGAAGUCAGCUCGCAAUCCAGAUCCUAAUGAUCCAAAUAGAGAAAUGGUUGUACAACUACUAGAUGACUUUAAAAUAUCAGGAGUUAAUGGAACACAUAUCUGCAUGGUAUUUGAAGUUUUGGGGCAUCAUCUGCUCAAGUGGAUCACCAAGUCCAAUUGUCAGGGGCUUCCACUGCCUUGUGUCAAAAAAAUUAUUCAGCAAGUUGUUACAGAGUCUUGAUUAUUUACAUACCAAGUGCCGUAUCAUCCACACUGACAUUAAACCAGAGAACAUCUUAUUGUCAGUGAAUAAGCAGUACUUUCGGAGGCUGGCUGCAGAAGCAACAGAAUGGCAGCAGUCUGGAGCUCCUCCACCUUCUGGAUCUGCAGUCAGUACUGCUCCCCAACCUAAACCAGCUGACAAAAUGUCAAAGAAGAAGAAGAAGAAAUUGAAGAAGAGGCAGAAGCGCCAGGCAGAAUUACUAGAGAAGCGAAUGCAGGAAAUUGAGGAAAUGGAGAGAGUCAGACCUUGGGCAAAAAAGACCAAACAAGCAAGAAGAAUCAGAGAGUCCUGUUGAAAGACCCUUGAAAGAGAACCCACCUAAUAAAAUGACCCAAGAAAAACUUGAAGAGUCAAGUACAUUGGCCAGGAUCAAACACUUAUGGAACGUGAUACAGAGGGUGGUGCAGCAGAAAUUAAUUGCAAUGGAGUGAUUGAAGUCAUUAAUUAUACUCAGAACAGUAAUAAUGAAACACUGAGGCAUAAAGAGGAUCUACAUAAUGCUAAUGACCAUGAUGUCCAAAAUUUGAAUCAGGAAUCUAGUUUCCUAAGCUCCCAAAAUGGAGACAGUAGCACAUCUCAAGAAACAGACUCCUAUAACAUCUGAGGUGUCAGACUCCAUGGUGUGCCAGUCUUCCUCAACUAUAGAUUAGUCAUUCAGUGAACAGUACAUUAGCCAACUUCAAGAAAGCAUUCGGUCAGAGAUACCCUGUGAAGAUGAACAAGAGCAAGAACAUAAUGGACCACUGGACAACAAAGGAAAAUCCACGGCUGGAAAUUUUCUUGUUAAUUCCCUUGAGCCAAAAAAUGCAGAAAAGUUCAAGGUGAAGAUUGCUGAUCUUGGAAAUGCUUAUUGGGUGCACAAACAUUUCACUGAAGAUAUUCAAACGAGGCAAUAUCAUUCCUUGGAAGUUCUAAUAGGAUCUGGCUGUAAUACCCCUGCUGACAUUUGGAGCAUGACAUGCAUGGCCUUUGAACUGGCCACAGAUGCCUAUUUAUUUGAACCUCAUUCAGGGGAAGAGUACACUCAAGAUGAAGAUCACAUUGCAUUGAUCAUAGAACUUCUAGUGAAGGUGCCUUGCAAGCUCAUUGUGGCAGGAAAAUAUUCCAAGGAAUUUUUCACCAAAAAAGGUGACCUGAAACGUAUCACGAAGCUGAAACCUUGGGGCCUUUUUGAGGUUCUAGUGGAGAAGUAUGAGUGGUCUCAGGAAGAGGCAGCUGGCUUCACAGAUUUCUUACUGCCCAUGUUGGAGUUGAUCCCUGAGAAGAGAGCCACUGCCACCGAGUGUCUCCGCCACCCUUGGCUUAACUCCUAAGCCCCUGGCCAGCACCACAGCAGAGAUCACAUACUGACCCUCAGCCCUUCCCCUCCAAGCAUUUUCCUCUUCCCUUUUUAGGGUGAAACUCUUUCUUCAAGAGUUUCUAGAUUUUUUUUUUUUUUUUGUAAUCCAACAUGUUCAUUUGGGUUUGCUUACUUGACACUGUGGAGAUCCCCACAGCCAUUGGGCAUCCUAGGUGAAUUUGGCCUUGGUUGGGCUCUACCAAAGACUAAUGGACUAAAAUGUGAAACUGCCUCUUGCCCUGUACCUUUCCUUCCCAUUAGGACAUCCUUUAAAUUAUAAGCAUCCUUUUUGAAAGAGCUAUGAAGGUGUAUGAACCCAUCCUUUUAUUCAUUAAGAGUCAAAUUUUCUAGUGUAUAUUCUAUUGCCUGCAUGAGGAUGAGGAGGGGAAAGGGUGUUAAUUCUGUGUACACCAGCAGAGACAUUAAACUUGCUGUGUCCAGGCUGCAUCAUCUUCCUGGACUGUUUCUGUUGUUCUGUA